rnacentral:lncRNA from 1 species
GUAUAAGUAAUUUUGCUGGUGAAAAACAAUUCAGGUGGUGGGAUCUAAUUUGUUAGAUAAUGGACUAACAUUAUGUUAGGAUUCAUUAGUUAAAUUACAGUAAAAUGAUUGAUUAAAGGCAUAGCUGAGAAUGAGGUGAUACUGAUAUGUGUAUGUUAUAGGUGUUUCUCUAUUUCAGAUUCUUCAGAGUUUCAGAAAACUAUUUUCUCCCAAAAACUUGCACCAGCCAAAACAUUAACUCUACAACACACAUAAUGGAAAGUAAGUAGAAUGUUUCCAUGUGUUCCCAUGGGGGAGAGGGAUAGCUCAGUAGUUUGAGCAUUGGUCUGCUAAACCCAGGGUUGUGAGCCCAAUCCUUAUGGGGGCCAUUUAGGGAUCAGAGAAGAAAAAAAAAAGCAAGGGGGGGAACUGUCAGGUACAGUACUUGGUGCUGCUAGUGAAGGCAGGGGACUGGACUCAAGGUCCCUUCCAGUUCUAUGAGAUAGGUAUAUCCCCCAUAUAUUAUUAAUUAUUCAUUUGUUUUCAGAACCCAUUAUCUUCAAGCAAAUGUGCUUGUGUUUUCUUUUUUGAUUGACAUUGCACUUAAGUAACUGUUUUCUCUUGUAAACAAUUCUCAGGGAAAUCUUUUAACGAGAAAAUUGCAAAUGUUUUGGCAUACCUAAAGAGUAGCACAUAUCCUGAAGGAAUGAAUAAAGCAGGCAGACUGAACCUGCGUCGAUAUGCUGUCAACUUUUCUUUGGAAGAGGGGACAUUGUUCCAUUCAGCAAAAGGAAGAAAGGUUGUCGUUGUGCAUACCGUGAAAGAAGCCCUACAACUCUUUGAAAGGUACCAUGACAGUCCAUUGGGUGGACAUCUAGGAAUAUUCAAAACGAGGAAUGUGCUGACAUCAAAAUACUAUUGGCCAGGGAUGACAAGAGACAUUGCCAAUUGGGUAUGUAAAGUAAUGAAACUAAAUCGUGAAGAAUGCUAUUUACAAUUGAAAUAGAAGUUCAAAAUGUAUAAAAGAAAUAUAAAAGUUUAUUUGGUGUGCAAAUGUGAACUCAGUUCCCUUGCGAUACUAUUUCCAUAACGAAAUGUUCAUGUCAUCAUAUUGUUCCAUCAAAAACAGGUUGCACGAUGUCUUACUUGCCAGAAACAGUGAAAGGAAUUAAAUAUGGAUACCACCUUGAAAAGCAUGAAGGUGAAUUUUGUAAUCAGACACAUUAUUGUUUAUCAUUAUCCAUUGUUAUUUCUGCAAUACGAGGCUUUGAUUUUGAAACGAGUCCAAUGCGUACAAGUGGCACAGCAUAGUGCAGUAAUUACCUCUAAUGCGCCUUUGCACUGGCUGGGGAUAUGUCUUCAGCUUUAUUCUUGUA